UACGGAGGAUCCAAGCGUUAUCCGGAUUUAUUGGGUUUAAAGGGUGCGUAGGCGGCCUAUUAAGUCAGGGGUGAAAGACGGUAGCUUAACUAUCGCAGUGCCCUUGAUACUGAUGGGCUUGAAUGUACUAGAGGUAGGCGGAAUGUGACAAGUAGCGGUGAAAUGCAUAGAUAUGUCUCAGAACACCGAUUGCGAAGGCAGCUUACUAUGGUCUUAUUGACGCUGAGGCACGAAAGCGUGGGGAUCAAACAGG
rnacentral:rRNA from 1 species